AUUGAACGCUGGCGGCAGGCCUAACACAUGCAAGUCGAGCGGAUGAAGGGAGCUUGCUCCUGGAUUCAGCGGCGGACGGGUGAGUAAUGCCUAGGAAUCUGCCUGGUAGUGGGGGAUAACGUCCGGAAACGGGCGCUAAUACCGCAUACGUCCUGAGGGAGAAAGUGGGGGAUCUUCGGACCUCACGCUAUCAGAUGAGCCUAGGUCGGAUUAGCUAGUUGGUGGGGUAAAGGCCUACCAAGGCGACGAUCCGUAACUGGUCUGAGAGGAUGAUCAGUCACACUGGAACUGAGCCACGGUCCAGACUCCUACGGGAGGCAGCAGUGGGGAAUAUUGGACAGUGGGCGAAAGCCUGAUCCAGCCAUGCCGCGUGUGUGAAGAAGGUCUUCGGAUUGUAAAGCACUUUAAGUUGGGAGGAAGGGCAGUAAGUUAAUACCUUGCUGUUUUGACGUUACCAACAGAAUAAGCACCGGCUAACUUCGUG
rnacentral:rRNA from 1 species